GGCUCAGAACGAACGCUGGCGGCGUGCCUAAUACAUGCAAGUCGUACGAGAAAGUCCGGCUUCGGUUGGACGAGUAAAGUGGCGAACGGGUGAAAACACGUGGAUAAUCUACCCGUACAUCUGGGAUAAUCCUUCGAAAGGAGGCCUAAUACCGGGUAACAUUCCUGAACGGCAUCGCUCGGGAAUCAAAGGCGGGGUAACCUGUCGUGUACGGAUGAGUCCGCGCCUCAUUAGCUUGUUGGCGGGGUAACGGCCCACCAAGGCUAUGAUGAGUAGCCGGCCUGAGAGGGUGAUCGGCCACACUGGGACUGAGAUACGGCCCAGACUCCUACGGGAGGCAGCAGUAGGGAAUAUUGCGCAAUGGACGAAAGUCUGACGCAGCAACGCCGCGUGGGUGAUGAAGUUUUUCGGAAUGUAAAACCCUGUCGGUGGGGAAGAAACGCAUGAGUAGUAACUGACUCGUGCCUGACGGUACCCACAAAGGAAGUCCCGGCUAACUCCGUGCCAGCAGCCGCGGUAAUACGGGGGGGACGAGCGUUGUUCGGAUUUACUGGGCGUAAAGGGCGCGUAGGCGGACCUUCAAGUCGGAUGUGAAAACCCCGGGCUUAACCCGGAGCCUGCAUUUGAUACUGUCGGUCUUGAGUACAGGAGAGGAGAGUGGAAUUCCAGGUGUAGCGGUGAAAUGCGUAGAUAUCUGGAAGAACACCAGUAGCGAAGGCGGCUCUCUGGACUGAUACUGACGCUGAAGCGCGAAGGCUUGGGGAGCAAACAGGAUUAGAUACCCUGGUAGUCCAAGCGGUAAACUAUGGGUACUAGGUGUCGGGGGUAUCGACCCCCCCGGUGCCGCAGCUAACGCAGUAAGUACCCCGCCUGGGGAGU
rnacentral:rRNA from 1 species